GAGUUAAAUUCUUGGAUUAUUUCAAGAACUGUAGCUUUAAGAUUUUAAAUAUAAUCACACUGUGUCACUUGUAUAUCAGCAUAAUUUGUAAAGUUAUAAGUUAUUUGUGUUGACUGUAUCUUUUACCUGAUAUCUGUAUACCUUAUCAUUACAGUUAUAAUCAUACCUACUGGAAAAGAAGUGUUUAAUAAGAUUUUGGAUUUGACAGUUAAACCAAUCUUUUCACUGUUUUUAAAAAGAUAGAAAACAUUAAUAUUAAGAUUUUUAAAUCCUCCACUUAAUCUCUGUCUGUGCUUCAGUUCUCCAUCUGCAAAAUAGGGGUAAUUCUCUCUGUGCCUUGGUUUCACAUCUAUAAAAUAGGGAUGAUAGUAUUUCCUUUCUCCACUCUUUGUCUCCUGUAUUUUGCUUGUAUUCUCUUCAAGGCAUGGUCUGUGUCUCUUACUUUGUGUUUGUACAGUUCCUACCAUAGUUGAGCCCCAAUCUUAGUUGGAGGUGCUAUCGUAAUACAAAUAAUAAUAAAGUUAUAUAUUUGCUAUCUAAAUUUUGGCCCUAAAAUAUCUGAUACAGUCCCUUUAAUUUACUUUUUGUUCCUUUCAGUAAUGAAUUUAAGAAAAAAUUUUUUUCUAAAGAUAGACAAGUCUUAAUAAUUAAAUAGAUAUUUUUCCUGUUGGCUAAGAACAACAUUGAACAGGAAAACAGAUUCUUCUGUUUACACUGCAUCUUGUUACACUCCUUUAUUUGAACUAUCCUUGAGAAGAAAGGAUUUUGUUAAUAGUAUUUUGUAACUGGGGAGUGUUUAUUGGGUAAUAUACCUACCAUUUAAUGCAUUACAGCCUUUAAAAAUGGGAGAGAGCACAGUUGGGGUGUUUUGCAUAGUACUUUGCAGUGUAAAUAAGCCGCCUUCUAGGCUGUAUUACAUUUUAGUAGUAUAAUCUCAUUAAUCUUUUAAGCUGCUUCUCAUCACUGACUGUGGGUAAGCUUGGCAAAAUCCUUUUUUAAUAUAUAAUUUCAACAGAUAUUGAAUACUUUUAAGCUUUUUUUUUCUAUUUUUAUGUAUUUAAAUGUUCACAGUUGCAGGAAGUUAUGGGGGUCAGACAAUAAUUAUUUAAUGACCGUUGACAUUAAGAUUCAAAACAUUAAAGCCUUAUAAAGUUAUAACUUUAUUGUCAAUAUCAGACUUCAAAAUAUACAAAGAAAAUAUCUUUAUAUCAAUAAUCCUCUAAUAAUUUCUCUAGCAGCAUUUUUCUCUCUUUUGUAUUUCAGUAGCACCAAGACUCCCCAAUCAGGGCCCCAUUGUGCGUGACACCGUAUACACACAUCAUGAAAAGACAGUCCGUGCCCCCAAAUCUCUUACAAUCUAAGUACAUGACAACAGGAAAAAACAACAAAUCGGCAGGGAGAGCGCAAGCUAACGUGGAAACAGUUGUGAAUAGUGUGAUGAGACAUCAACUGCCUAGCUAUUAUCAAGGGUUUUUUAGGCAUCACCUCAAAGAUGAUUUAUAAUUUAGCUUUUAGUCCACCACCUUCCGGUUCUUAUGGUCCAAUGACAAAGCACUCAAAAUCAGCACUCUGGGUUUGAUGCCACAGGAUCCUUUUGGUGUAAUAUUUAACCUUGUAUUGUAACCCUUCUUUUUUAUAGAUUAUAAUGCACAAGAAAGGAACAUUUUUUGUAAAAUAGAAUCAAAACCCAAUAAUUUCUGCACUUCAGUGACUGAAAACUGCUUCAUUGUUGGUUUAUAUGUGACCAUUUUGUUUAUAUAUUUCAAGCAGAACUUUGGAUAAGCAGAGAAAUCUACUUAGGCCUGAGCAGUACAUUUUCCAGUUUGAGUAUAGGGAAAGGCUGUUUGAAUGCUGUCUGAUAAAUGUAUUACCUUUCAGCAGUUGAACAAUAAUAACUGAGUAGUUAUUGUACUUCGAUAUUUUUGUAUCUUACUUUUUUGGGAAGUGGCCCUUUCUCCAGCUUAGGGCAGGAACUGUUUCCAGUGUCUUUGUGUCAGCUUAAUUCUGUUACACAGUAUACACUACGCUAUAGUUUAACCAAAAAAACCCCCAAACCAACAACAAUUAAUGUAGCCCCUCAGUGUGGGAAGAGUUCAUCAGGCUGACAUACAUUUUGGCAGCCUGUGAACACUAACAGGAUGAGGAAAUCUAUUUCCUUCCUGAAACCUUGUAUCUGAGGAGUAUACGUGCACCACUGCUAAAUUUGAGACUCUUUUUGUGUGUUUGUGCUUACCCGGUAUUUUCUCAUCCAGGCAAGGAUGUGGAGCUGCUUGUUUUUAGAAGUUUCAUUUGUGCUAGACCUACUUCUGUCAUGAAAUGGUGAAAGUGCCAUGUGAUAUGUGUUAAACAAGCAUGGUCACUUCAUCAGUUUUUCAUGAUUUAUUGAAAUUGAGCAUAAUUACUGGUAUGUAUGAUGUGAUAAUUGUCUUGGCAACAAAUUGAGUCAUUACAAUCGUCUCAUUCCUGAAAUCCUGAUUCAGUUUUCACUCAGUCCUUGCUCAGGGAACACCUCCACUGGCUGCUGACAGAGUUUUACCUGAAGAAUAAGGGCUAAGUAAAAAUUACGUUAAAGUUUCUAAAAGGACUGGUAAUUUUGCUUUGUCCUUGCACAAACCACAUACUUACCAUUGAUAUAUUUGGUCUUCAUCAUCUGAUCUAUGCUCCUUUUAGAGCUUUCUCACCAGAUUUUGACCCUUUAUAAAUGCCCUAGAAGAGUCUCACAGAAGUACAGGACACAGUUCCAUCCCACGCAGAGAGAAUGGAGUGGAGUUGUCGUGCUAGAGCAGAGGAUUCCUGAGUCAUUUAUCCUGUGCAGGAAAGAAUGACUCAGGAUGGCCUAGGACAAUGCACCUUACAAGCUAGGUCAAUAAUAGUAACUGUGCAAAGCUAGUUUAGGUGCAGUGUGUGAAAUGUUCUUUGUUUAGCAGUGCACUUGUAUUUUCAUGGCUCACAAAACCCGAAGGCCUUUGAGUGCAUUUUCAAAGUCCCCACAAAAAUCUAAAAGCAGAAGUCCCAAUAAGCAACAUGGCCAAAUAUCAAAAGAAUCCUGAUCCAGUAUAAAAAUCCCUUGCCACCAGUUUCUUGUCAGACCAAGAAUAAUAAAUCUGUAUGAACUGAGAAGGAAAAAACAUGGUCAGCCUUGUUCAGAGGGAUGCAGUUGGAGUAAGCUAAAUGGGAGAACAUUCCAAAACUCUGGCUCUAGUUUCUAGGCCUGCAUCCCAUAAAGUUGUUUGGUGUUCAUGGGUUCCUGCUGUGAGACAUACAAAAUGAUCCCCGAUGGAAUUGUAUUCAGCUAAGUGUAAGUUUAGCCUUGGAAUACCCACUUGUGUGGUACUAGUAACAUUUCACAGCUUUGCUCCUAGCUGUUUGGAAACAACUAUGGUAGUAUUGACUUAAUUGCUCUGCUGUUGCAAAGCAUAGCACAUGUGUUCUGCAGACAUGUACCUCCUGUACUGCCAAAUGUGCAUCCUGAGAUUCCUCUGGUUUGAUUUUAUUUAAUGGGAAGGUCCAUUUAAAAUCCCAGUACAGAAAUAUACCAAGAGCAAAGUAGAGUGAUGACAAUACACUUGGAAUUGAUUGCAGAGGCAAAUAGGAUAAUAAUAAAACAUGAAAAUCUGCUAAAUAUUGUAAAUGGCUGUACAGAGCUGCUUGAGAAUGCUUCACUUGUCUGUGUGAGGGUAUUUUUACUCAAUGCAGAUUCUCAUUGUUUUGUCUCUGCCAAACCCAGAGAUUGCUAAAAUAACCCUUGAAUAAUAAAUACUUGCAUCACAUUUAUAUAUGAUCACUCUGCGCUGCCCCUUUGUAAUAUUUCCAUAUCUCUGCCUAAAACCCCUUGCCUUAAACUCUGGUCACAUCCACUUCAAAUCCCUCUACUGGCUUCCUCUCACCUCCCUUGUCACAUUCAGUCACCCCUCUUCCUUGCCUUCACAGCGCUACCAUCUGCCUACCUGUCUGUGCAAACUUCUUUUGACUCCUCCCUCUCCCCCAUCCCACACUACAUGCCUCGUUGCCCUCUUUGCCCUUAUGUAUACUAGAAACAUUUGUACUCAUAUUCCAGCACCAGUGCAGCUGUAGCACUGCUGGAAAAGUACAGGUACCAUUUUUUCUAGCGUAGUUGCAUCCAUUGUUUCAUUCUACCAUGCUUGUCUCUAUGCCUUCUUUCAUGUGUCCUUUAAGCUUGGGUCCACCAUGCUAAUGUGAUCUGUGAGCUGCCUUGCUUCCCCCUCCCUUUUUAGCCCUUCCUCAAAACAAAUUUUCCAUGUGGGCAAUAAUCUUUAUAUUUCUACACCAAAACCAGUAUUUUAUGGGAAGUAAUAUUCUUAUUAAAUUCUCAUGACUCUUACACUACUAAUCAAAGCAUUCACAUGAUCUUGCUGCUUUAAACCAUGUCCUCCCCUCCCCAUAAACCACUCUUUCACACUCAACAGUGUUUGUUUCUGCCUUUUACAAUGUUGUGUUUUAACUUGAACCCUGUUCCUGUAAUUAGAGCUGCAGGGCUGGACCCUUGUGCCUCCAUGGCUCUGUAUGAGGUAAGAGUGCAUACCACCCAGGCGGAUCCAGAGGCAGGAUCAGGGCGUUGGGCAUCCCUUAGGCAGGGAUGUUGCCUUUUACCAGCCUAUAAAGAUCUAUGCACAUUUAUGGCCCUACAUAAAUAAUUACGAAAUAGAAGGACAUUUGGGAUUUAGGAACUUCUCCUGCAGUAGACUGCAUAGCCAACAGAACAAGACAGGCUGUGAAAAUAUAAGCAAAUUACAUGUUUCUUUGUAAUGUGUAUUUCAUCAGGUAACUUCUCCACCUAUGAGAACCCAAUAUAAGCAAGACCAAAGAUAAGUGUUAAAAUUAAUAAUUUCAAAAGAUAAGUCUGGUAGAAAUGCCAAAUGAUUGGUUCAAAUAAUAUUUUUUAAUAUAGUACAGCAGAAUGAGUUAUUUCAAAAGGAGGCUGGAUAGCUGUCUGUCUUGGGCGGUUUAGACACAACAAAUCCUGCAUCAUGGCAGGGGGUUACACUAGAUGACCCUUGCGGUCCCUCCUAACCCUAUGAUUUUGUAUUUCUAUUUUUGAUGGCUAGUUUUUAAAAAUGUACAAGCAAUUCCAGAUUGUGACGAUGAAAGCUCCAUUCUUAUUUGUUUUGUUCUGAAAUUAUAUAACAAAUUAUGAUUCUUGCAUUUUCUGUGUUCUGGAGCUUACAGAAUGUGAGUUAAGACAGGAAACCAACCAGGCAAGGUAAGUGAAACCUUCAUUUUGGUUUCCUGUCUAACUGCAUUUUCUGAAACCAGCCCUGUUGAUUUUUUUCACAUUUUUUUAAAAUAUAGACGAGCUCAAUCUUUCUAACUGGUGACAUAUCUUGUAGUGAAAGGAUCUAUUAAAAAAGUGACACUUUUUUUGCGAUGUUAAUAUUCUGUAUCUGCUGAAGAAUCUUUUCCUUUUUGCUUAUUUUAUGAGGACUGACAGCCUCCACAGGGUUUAUGGGUGACCCAGUUUCUGCCUCUUUAGGUCUUGUCUCAGAUCUUUAGAAGGUGUUUUUGCAAUAGUAUGAAGAAGCCAUUUAAACAGGAAAAUAAGGAGUGGC